GAUGUCGACGGCGUGACAUAGAACUAACAUUUGGUGCCAAAUGUAUGAAAAUCGGUAUUCAGCAACACGAAACAUCCUCGCCUGCAACGACAACCUCGCCUUCGCCUUCGAUUUUAUCUGUCAAACCGAAAAGCUUGAAAAUUGUGGAUGCUUUCUUGGAUGAAGGCGAUUAAAAUAUGGCAGUUCGUCUUUCCUGUAUGAUUUUUCGUUGGAAGAAACUAAACAUCAUGAUAAUUAAAUAAAUAAGAAGUCAGGCCUCCGUGAUACGUAUUAUGGAUUUACUAACACUAACUACUGAUAGAAACUAUAAUAAGAUUGACUGAAGAACAGAUUCGACAGUUGAAAGAAGAUUUCCUGAGAUUUCCCCUUUCCUAACAAAGGCGAAUCGUCGAGGAGGAAUUAGCAACCGCACCAAUAUAUUACACUUAAUCAAUAUAAUAUAAAUCAUCAUACAGUACAGUGGAUAGAUGCCUAAAACUUACCGUCCAUCCACCUUUUGCAGGUACU